rnacentral:rRNA from 1 species
CAGCCGCCGCGGGAAUACGAAGGGGGCUAGCGUUGUUCGGAUUUACUGGGCGUAAAGGGCGCGUAGGCGGACUGAUAAGUCAGGGGUGAAAUCCCAAGGCUCAACCUCGGAACUGCCUUUGAUACUGUUUGUCUUGAGUUCGAGAGAGGUAAGUGGAACUGCGAGUGUAGAGGUGAAAUUCGUAGAUAUUCGCAAGAACACCAGUGGCGAAGGCGGCUUACUGGCUCGAAACUGACGCUGAGACGCGAAAGCGUGGGGAGCAAACAGGAUUAGAUACCCCAGUAGUCCCUGUCUCUUAUAC